CUACAAAGGGUGCGGCUUGGGUCAAUGGGAGUCAACGCAGGGUUCCUUCCGGGGGCGGCAACAAGAUUGAUGUCCAGUCUAGAAAGUCUUGUUUGCAAGCUGGAGGAGGUGCCUAGCCGUCGCCAGUUCGUUCCUGUGAGGUGUCCUGUAAAUUCAAACAUCGAUCGUGACCGCACCGCUUGUUGCUCUGAGGAAUGUUUUCCAAUGGGGCCUCUAUGUGGGACUGCCGUCGUAAAACGGAUGGAAUGGUGCGGGCCACGGCAGGUCAAGUUUGCCCCGAAUCCCCCGGGCUCCCCCCGCGCUGCAUUGGCAAGGGACAACUGGGUCCCAACCUUGAAAAAUGGAAUGAGCAAUCUCGAAACCCUAGCACUCAUGUUGGGACUCAGAUAAGGCUAGAAUCUCCGCCUCUCCAGUAGAAUCAAUAGGAUAUAGCCUAAUAAUGCGCAGCGUCAUCACUCAGCAGCAGGUGAAUCCGUCCCCAGCUGCCUUAGCAUCACACCAGCCCAGUCAGCUCCAUCCAGAUGUGGGGUUAGGGUGAUGAGCAGUGGUCUUUUUGGCUAGCAGUCAGAAUCUAGGUUCCAGCAAGGGGGGAGUGUCUUCCAAGGAAUCAUGCUAUCGCCAUGGGAUCAGCCAAUCUCUCCUGCCUACGAGUUAGCUUCCAAGAGGCCCCUAGCCAGUC
rnacentral:rRNA from 1 species